GACGAACGCUGGCGGCGUGCCUAACACAUGCAAGUCGAGCGGAGAUAUAUGGAAGGUUUACCGGAAAUAUAUCUUAGCGGCGGACGGGUGAGUAACGCGUGGGCGACCUGCCUCAUACAGGGGGAUAACACAGGGAAACUUGUGCUAAUACCGCAUGAAAUCAUAGUAUGGCAUCAUACAAUGAUCAAAGGAGCAAUCCGGUAUGAGAUGGGCCCGCGUCCGAUUAGCUAGUUGGUGAGGUAACGGCUCACCAAGGCGACGAUCGGUAGCCGAACUGAGAGGUUGAUCGGCCACAUUGGGACUGAGACACGGCCCAGACUCCUACGGGAGGCAGCAGUGGGGAAUAUUGCGCAAUGGGGGAAACCCUGACGCAGCAACGCCGCGUGAAGGAGAAGGCCUCGGUUGUAACUUCUUUGAUAGGGGACGAGUAAUGACGGUACCCUAAAACAAAGACCACGGCUAACUACGUGCCAGCAGCCGCGGUAAACAUAACUCGUA
rnacentral:rRNA from 1 species